GGGGAUGUAGCUCAAAUGGUAGAGCGCUCGCUUAGCAUGCGAGAGGCACUGGGAUCGACGCCCUUUUUUUUU
rnacentral:tRNA from 1 species